rnacentral:lncRNA from 1 species
CCCACACCUAGAUUCAACCCAAAACCCAAAGUGUUUAUAAAUAAACAACUCACUUGGAUAUAAACUCACGGUACACAAUUACCGUGUGUUCAAGCUCAAAAUACAACACUCUACAUACGCCUGGUUCGCUCACGUACGAAAUCGCGUAUCUCUUCAAGCUUCUCACGGAGGACUUGCGGCUUCAUUGAUCGUCGUUGUGCGGCUUCAUAGGGUUUCCUUUUAAACUGCUUCGCUGGGAAGAAAACGUGUGCCCAAAGGUCAAACAAUUGACCUGGGCCCACCAUCACUUUCAAUUUCACGUGCAGCUUCUUUCCUCUCUCUCAUCGGAUAAAAGGAACGAAUGUCACGCCCCAAAUCUCGAGCGUGCACACAUCCCUCGGUGGUCAAUAGAAUUUUGCGACGUUCCCAAGAUUUGUCGCUGACCCCUUUCAUUUUAUUGCACAUGCGGAAGCGAAUUAACUAAUCCCUUGACAACAACAAAUAUGAGAUAGAAAAGUAGGACAACCGGUUUCAAAUCAAAUACAUUUUCAUAAACACCUCAAGCUUAUACAUAAUGUGUAUCUCAUAAGGUACUACUGAGCCACCUAUGCUAUUGACCCUUUUGCUUCAAGCUUCGGGUUCUUCACACUGGACACCUAAAAAUGGUUAUUCAAUAACUAGUGAGAUGUAAAUCUCAGCGAGUUCUUCCCCUAAUCCCUCGAUUAGUACACCAACUCAACUCAGGAUAUCUCUUCAGAACCAUCCCACAACAAACAUGAGAUUAACAAUCAACAAUCAAUAGUUGAUUCGCAUACAUCCUUACCUGAUAUGCCAUACCCUGCACGUCAUAACUUAGCACGAUUCACGCAAUGCACAUGGCCAUUAGAUGAUGUAGUUCAUUAAUCAUAUACGAAUCGCGUUACAAGCGAUCUCACCUGGCCAUUGCCACAAGAACGCGUUGUCUGGGGUAGAGGCGCGGAUGCACCGCCAUCCCUCAUCCUAGCUCAGUAUUGUCCUCUUUGGGCUCCGCACUGGAGUGGACGAACCGCUAUCCCAGUCGAGCCACCCCUCAAGGCUUAGUUCUCAGUAUAGCGGAAGCAUAUGUGAAACGCGUUAUCAAUUCAUGUGUACGUGCCAUAAACAAUGUGCUUAAUUCAUGCAUGACUAGGACUAAAGAUGCCAUGAUCCUCAUGCGUUCUUACACAUUAUUGUGCCACACAGCACACAUUGAUCAAUCACAUGGAUCCCAGUCAAUGCAACAGAUAACAGUCUUCCGGCAAACCGAGCAUCGUCUCGCACCAUCGAGCACGGCAACAUCUACAUUUAGAAGGCAUUCCAUAUAGGAGCAUUGGCCCAGCCUCCACUGCGAUUGGCAUCCAUUGACGUGGGGCAUUCCCGAAGGAGCAUCGACCCAGCAUCCACUGCGACCGGCAUCCGUUGACUUGGGGCAUUCCCGAAGGAGCAUCGUCCGACCCCAAAGACUCAUGAAGGCAUCUCAUAUCAUUCAUGCAUUCAUUCAAUUUUGGCACAGGAUAUCGUGCAUUGCACUUAAAUACCUCAAUUAAAAUAGUGAUCCUGGUCUAUUUUCUUCAUAUUAAAAAUGCAUGGUAAAAUAAUCGUGUGUGGGGACACGGUCAGAUCGAACCAGAAAAUUUGUGUCAUCUCUUUAAAAUCCCACAGUUUGGUAUAGUAUUUAAAAACACUUUCAGCGUCCAAAACCUGACACCCGGAAUUUUCUAAUUAAAUACCAACAAUUUCCAAUCACUAUACAAUUGCACAAAACAUCACCUAAUUCAUGCAGAUGCCUAUGCAUUUACACAUCCAUUCACUUCAUAAAAUCAAUAUACAUGAAAUUAGACCACUUUUCAUUCUCGGGUGAACAGUGCGCGUGAACAGUAACUUGUGAACAGUAUCGCGUGAACAGUAACUAGUGAAUAGUACGUCAUGAACAGUGAAAUUCUAGAAUUCAAUAACUAAUAAAUUAAAUCCACAAGUCAUUAAAACACUAAUUAAAGAAAGCAAAGUAUCAAGAACCAUCAUUAAACUAAAAUCGGCCUUAAUUGGUAGAAACCGGGCCUUCACGCGUCUCCAAAUUUAAAUCUAGAAACCUAACCAAUUGAGCUCGGAAAAUUUUCAAAUUUGAAUAUGUUAUAAAUGACACAUAAAAGAACAUUUUUCAUGAGACACCUAAACCCAUAUCCUUCCAGAUUCAGCGCAGUAAAUCACUCAAUCCAGCGCCAAAAUUAGGUCCGUUCUCAGAAAGUCAGUUUUUCCGAAAUCAGUUUGGUUCGAGCUCUUAAACACAUUUGUUUGAUCUGAAAUUUGAGUAUGUUAGACUAGAAGAUGUAAAAAAAAACUUUUGUGAAGGAAAUAUUUUGAAAUUCGAACCCUAAGGGUCAGUAAAUAGCCCUAGAAUCCUUACAGGUCACUAAUUCCAGUGAAAACUGAAGUUCUGUUCGAAGAUGACGAUGCUGAUAUCUCCUACUUCUGGGUUCCCAAAAAUAUUGAGAAAAAUAUAUGUUGUAUAUAAGGAUGUCUAAAACAUUUCUCUAGAAUGCAUCAACUUCAAAUUCGCGCCCGAUUUUGAUUUACAAAAAUUACAAACGGCAAGCGUCCAGGAAUCAAUUCUGCAAAACAGUCACUGUUUUGGACCAACCCAUCCUCUAUAGUGCUAAUCUCACUCAUUAUACUAAUAAUAAUCCACUCUAGACUAUCCUUAGUCCCUACUUGAGUUAAUCUAAACUAUUAUUAAGCCUAACCAACCUCUUAAGCAAGUUUAGGCACUAAUAAAAUGAUUAGGAACUAAAAUCACCCGAUGACAAUUCCGACGACAUGAGCGUGAUGGCGGUGGCGAUGGCUACUCACAGUUAUGUCCAAAAUGUCACGGAGGUGCUCGGCAAACAUGGGUCUCGAUGGAGGUGGUUUCCAAUUUGGCAAGAACGGCGGGCGGAUGGCUCGUGGAUGGGUGGUGCGGCUCUUCGGCGAUGGACGGCGGUUUGUGGACAGUGAUGGCCCACGGCCAUGGCGCAAGAUGGUGGCUGGUUUGGGACAGGACAGUAGCACAUGGUGCUGUUUUGAGAGCAAAACAGAAAAGAAACUAAAGAGAAAAGAGAAGAAGAAGAGGGACGUGGGAGUGGGGGUUGUCAAGAGGAGGAAUGGGGAAAGAGGAGAGAGAAACAAUAAAGACAUGGGAGGAAGUUGAGGGGAAAUUGCUACAGAGGGGUUGGCCUGAGUGAGGGGGUGGAAAAGUGGGAAAGAGAGGGAUAAAAAGAAGAAAGAGAGAAGAAAGGAGAGGGGGAGGAAAUUGCGUGCGAAGGAGGGGGAAAGAAAACGUGCGAGAGAGGGAGAGAGAGAAGAAAGAGAAAAGAACAUGGAGGAAGAGGACUUUUGGCCGAAGGAGGAGGAAGCGUGAAGGAGAAUAGAAAGAGGAGGAGGAAGCGUGAAGGAGAAUAGAAAGAGGAGAGAGAGAAGAAAAAUAAUAAAAGUAUUGUUAUCAUUUUUCUUUUUCUUCCAAUCUCCGAUUUUUCAUCCGAUAAUUUCUUUUUCCAAAAUUUCGGUAUGUUACAACGAAACUUGUGUGUGCUGGGCCCCACGAGGAUAACAACUUUCAGCAAGAAUUCCGAAGAAGAAAUUCGUAUACUUCAUGCAGGUAACAGAGGCUUUACUGUUUUUUUUAUUAUGUUAUUUCCUCUUUUGUAAUCCUUCAUGCAAUCCCAUGAUCAUAUAAUAAAAAUUUUAUCCAAGUGAAUUGCGUUUUGCAAACACUCAAACUCGAGACAUAAUUUAACACCAUCUCAAAGCCACGCAUCAGACAAGCAAAAACUCCAAAUCAUAAUCAAGAAAUCAAACUCCAAGCUUUGAUACCAACUGUUGGGAUAUUAUACGCAGAAAUGAUAGGAUCUUGCAAUUUACAUUAACACGAAAUCGCUAGAAAAAUAAACGAUAAAAAUAAGGAUACCAGUCGGUUCGAGUAUUGGUACCUAGAGAGCCAACAGCAAAUAAUCCACUAUAAUCGGAGUAUCAGAGUUUACGAUCGCUCAAAAUACUAAAGUGUUUCCCACAUCUAUAUUUAACUCAAAACCCAAAGUAUUUAUAAAUAAACAACUCACUUAGAUAUAAACUCACGGUGCAAAAUUACUGCGUAUUCAAGCUCAAAAUACAAUGCUCUACAUACGCUUGGUUCGCUUACGUACGAAAUCGCAUAUCUCUUCAAGCUUCUCGCGGAGGACUUGUGGCUUCGUUGAUUGUUGUUGUGUGGCUUCGGAGGGUUUCCUGUUAAAUCCCUUCGCUGGGAAGAAAACGUGUGCCCAAAGGUCAAACAAUUGACCU